rnacentral:rRNA from 1 species
AUGGAUUCCUCCUCCGCCUCCCCCGCCGGGGCGGCGGCGGCGGCGGCUGCGCCUGCUGCUGGUGCUGCUGCCGCCACGGACCGGUACACGUUCAGGCCGGGGCUGCGGUGGCAGCCGGAAGUGGAGGAGUACUUCGCCUCGGCGUACGGCCGCGACCACUUCGCCCGCAUCUCCCAAGCCCUCGCGCAUCCUUCUUGCUACUCUUGCAUCCGUGUGAAUACUCUAAAGUCUAGCACUGAUACUGUCAUGCAAAAGCUGCUGAAAUUGGUAAAUGAGAAUGAACUUUCUUGUGGAUUUAAUGGUUUGAAGAUCGGUGAGCAGAAUGGUGGAGAGCAAGCACAUGAAGGGAGUUACCUGGUGCACAAAUGCCCAUAUUCAGGCCUUGAAAAUGUUUUAUUUGUUCGAGGUUCAGGACCACAUGCUCUGCAUUACAAUGACCAACCUGGUCACUCUAUGAAGGAGAUAAUUGUAAGUCGAAAAUGUGCAGAGUCAGUUCUUCGAGGAGCUCAGGUGUAUGUCCCUGGUGUUUUAGCUUGCAGUGCACAUGUUGAAAAGGGUGAUAAGGUUGCAGUGUCAGUUGCUAUUGAACAACCUGUCAAGAACAGUGGUUGGGCUGUUGGUAUAACACGAGGAAUCGUUCUACAGGGGUUGCAGUCAGAUGCACAUUAUGAAGAGAGAAAGGGUUUGUACAUUGGUCAAGGGAUUGCUGCAAUGUCAAGGGCAGGAAUAUUUCGUGUUCUUCAUGGAGUUGCAGUAGAGAUGACUGAGAGGGUAUACAAACUACCAUCUUUUAAUGACGUGCUUGAAGGGGAGAUAUUUCUUCAAAAUUUGCCAAGUAUUGUGGCUGCUCAUGUCCUUGAUCCCCAACCAGGAGAGCAAAUAUUGGACAUGUGUGCUGCUCCAGGAGGGAAAACAACAGCAAUUGCUAUCCUUAUGAGGGACAAAGGAGAAAUUGUUGCCCUUGAUAGAUCUCACAAUAAGGUGAUGGGUAUUUUGAAGUUGGCUGACGAGAUGGGCCUAAGUUGUAUAAGAGCUUAUAAACUUGAUGCUCUCAAAUCUGUACGGAAGGCUUGUGAGGAAAGAAAUCUUGGCGUGGCUGAUAAUUGCUCUGAAGCAAUUGUGACCCUAGCGGAGAACUCUGGCCCUAUCCGUAGUAUAAUCGGUGCCAGGGUUACGGAUGCAGCUGAAGACAGCUCAACCGCAAUAGUUGAGCAGACUGAUGCCAAAAGCUAUGUUAGCAAGGCAGACCUCAGGAAGAAUUUAAGGCGAAUGAGGAACGGGACAGGAAGAAGUAACUGCUCUGGAGGUAGAGUUGAAGACUCAAAAGGAUUCUUUCCAAGCAGCUUUGAUCGUGUCCUCCUUGAUGCUCCAUGUUCUGCACUUGGCUUGAGACCUCGUCUCUUUGCUGGUGAGGAAACUCUGGAAUCGCUGAGAAAGAAUGCGACAUAUCAAAGAAGAUUGUUUGAUCAAGCUGUUAAGCUAGUUCGCCCUGGUGGGAUAAUUGUUUAUUCCACGUGUACCAUAAAUCCAGGAGAAAAUGAGGCUUUGGUCAGAUAUGCCUUGGAUACAUACAAAUUCCUGUCACUAGGAUCACAGCACCCAAAAGUUGGAGGACCUGGUAUUAUUGGCUCGUGUAAGCUGCCCAACAAGGCAUAUACUGAGCAGUGGUUGACGGAGGAUGAAGCACAACUUGUCCAGAGGUUUGAUCCAUCAUCAUCACUGGAUACGAUGGGUUUCUUCAUUGCGAAGUUUAAUGUUGGGCAGAAGGAGGACUGA